UGGCGGCAGGCCUAACACAUGCAAGUCGAGCGCCCCACUUGUGGGGAGCGGCGCACGGGUGAGUAACGCGUGGGAAUGUACCCUUUAGUUCGGAAUAGCCUCGGGAAACUGGGAUUAAUACCGUAUACGCCCUUCGGGGGAAAGAUUUAUCGCUAAAGGAUCAGCCCGCGUGACAUUAGCUAGUUGGUAAGGUAAUGGCUUACCAAGGCGACGAUGUCUAGCUGGUCUGAGAGGAUGAUCAGCCACACUGGAACUGAGACACGGUCCAGACUCCUACGGGAGGCAGCAGUGAGGAAUAUUGGGCAAUGGGCGAAAGCCUGACCCAGCCAUGCCGCGUGUGUGAUGAAGGCCCUAGGGUUGUAAAGCACUUUCAACGGUGAAGAUAAUGACGGUAACCGUAGAAGAAGCCCCGGCUAACUUCGUGCCAGCAGCCGCGGUAAUACGAAGGGGGCUAGCGUUGUUCGGAAUCACUGGGCGUAAAGAGCGUGUAGGCGGAUAUGUAAGCUAGAGGUGAAAGCCCAGGGCUCAACCUUGGAACUGCCUUUAGAACUGCAUAUCUAGUAUCUCGGAGGGGGUAGGGGAAUUCCUAAUGUAGAGGUGAAAUUCGUAGAUAUUAGGAGGAAC
rnacentral:rRNA from 1 species